AUAUUGGACAAUGGGGGGAACCCUGAUCCAGCCAUGCCGCGUUUGUCAAGAAGGUCUUCGGAUUGUAAAGCACUUUAAGCUGGGAGGAAGGGUUGUAGGUUAAUACCCUGCAAUUCUGACGUUACCAUCUGAAUAAGCACCGGCUAACUUCGUGCCAGCUGCCGCGGUAAUACGAAGGGUGCAAGCGUUAAUCGGAAUUACUGGGCCUAAAGCGCGCGUAGGUGGUUCGUUAAGUUGGAAGUGAAAGCCCCGGGCUUAACCUGGGAAUUGCUUUCAAAACUGACGAGCUAGAGUACGGUAGAGGGUAGUGGAAUUUCCUGUGUAGCGGUGAAAUGCGUAGAUAUAGGAAGGAACAUCAGUGGCGAAGGCGACUACCUGGACUGAUACUGACACUGAGGUGCGAAAGCGUGGGGAGCAAACAGG
rnacentral:rRNA from 1 species